rnacentral:rRNA from 1 species
CCUACGGGAGACAGCAGUGGGGGAUAUUGCACAAUGGGGGAGACCCUGAUGCAGCGACGCCGCGUGAGGGAAGAAGUAUUUCUGGAUGUAAAGCUCUAUCAGCCGGGAAGAAAAUGACAGUACCUGAGCACGACGCCGCGGCUAACUACGUACCAGCCGCCGCGGUACUGCGGAGGGGGCAAGCGUUAUCCGGAUUUACUGGGUGUAAAGGGAGCGUAGAAGGUUAUGUAAGUAUGGAGUGAAAGCCCGGGGCCCCACCCCGGGACUGCUUUGGAAACUGUGUAACUGGAGUACAGGAGGGGCAGGCGGAAUUCCUGGUGUAGCGGUGAAAUGCGUAGAUAUCAGGAGGAACACCGGCGGCGAAGGCGGCUUACUGGACUGUAACUGACGUUGAGGCUCGAAAGCGUGGGGAGCAAACAGGAUUAGAUACCCGUGUAGUC